rnacentral:rRNA from 1 species
GACGAACGCUGGCGGCGUGCCUAAUACAUGCAAGUCGAGCGCAGGAAGCCAUCUGAACCCUUCGGGGGGACGACGGUGGAAUGAGCGGCGGACGGGUGAGUAACACGUAAAGAACCUGCCCAUAGGUCUGGGAUAACCACGAGAAAUCGGGGCUAAUCACGGAUGUGUCAUCGGACCGCAUGGUCCGCUGAUGAAAGGCGCUCCGGCGUCGCCCAUGGACGGCUUUGCGGUGCAUUAGCUAGUUGGUGGGGUAACGGCCCACCAAGGCGACGAUGCAUAGCCGACCUGAGAGGGUGAUCGGCCACACUGGGACUGAGACACGGCCCAGACUCCUACGGGAGGCAGCAGUAGGGAAUCUUCCACAAUGGACGAAAGUCUGAUGGAGCAACGCCGCGUGAACGAUGAAGGCUUUCGGGUCGUAAAGUUCUGUUGUAAGGGAAGAACAAGUGCCGCAGGCAAUGGCGGCACCUUGACGGUACCUUGCGAGAAAGCCACGGCUAACUACGUGCCAGCAGCCGCCGUAA